GCCCCAAAGUAAGGGAUAAGCCACCGAAAGUGGUCUAAUACCUUAUAGUAUCCAUCUCGUAUGGAUUAAAGCUUUAUGCGCUUUGGGAGGGGCCUGCGUUUGAUUAGCUAGUUGGUGAGGUAAAAGCUCACCAAGGCGACGAUCAAUAGCUGGUUUGAGAGGAUGACCAGCCACACCGGGACUGAGAUACGGCCCAGACUCCUACGGGAGGCAGCAGUAAGGAAUCUUCCACAAUGGGGGCAACCCUGACGGAGCAAUACCGCGUGCAGGAUGAAGCGUUUCGGCGUGUAAACUGCUUUUAUCACCGAAGAUUAUGACUGUAGGUGAAGAAUAAGGACCGGCUAACUACGUG
rnacentral:rRNA from 1 species